GUCACUUUGGGCAGCGGCUUCGCCCGGAAGGGCACCUUGAUGUUUGCCGUGUGGCCCACCUUCACAGUCACGGGGUGCGCGGCCAGCGCCUCCAGCACCGACGGGUCGAUGCCCUUGCCUCGGACCUCCUUGCCAUCCUUCAGCCACACGCCCUCCACCUUCUCGUCGUUCAGCACCACGCACAGUUCAGCUGGGCUCCCGGUGGCCGCAUGCACGUCAGACAUCCCGCUCUUCACCGUGGCCAGACGCUCUGGGGGAGAAAGGGAGCAGGUGCCGGACUGAACCUGAGGAAACCGGUGAAUUAGGCUGAGGAAACCGGUGAAUGUUGGUAUCUGCAACAUGGCACUCACAGUCCAGUGGGGUCUCGGAAUGAAUGAAUUUGUGGUCUGGAACCAGAGGUUGCAGAAGCUGGUUAGAUCUAAGGAUGAUCAGCCCUUGGCCAGAGUCUUCUAGAAGUGUUCCCUGAAGAGCCCAGGAACCCUGACCUUCACCCCCCUUCGCUAGGAUUAGUUCCUCCCUUGGUGCCUGGCCUGCCGAUUUAACCUGGCUCCACCCACUACGGCUACGCCCCCUUCUAGCCACGCCCAUAGCCUUGGCCUCCCUUCCCUUUUGGCUCUCUCACCUUCUGGAAGAGAUGGGUCUCCUGCCCCUCCUUGGCUUUGCCCUAGUUCUGCUUCGCCUCACCCCUAAUUUUGGUCUCCUGCCCACUUUAGCAACACCCCAACUCCUGAUUAGGCCUCUCUUAUCCUGCCCCUCCUCUAGGGCAACGACAGCUUCUUUCCCCAUGGCCCUUCUUGGUUCGUUCAGUUGUGGCUCUCUUGUCCGUGAUGGGGCCGGCAGCAUGCCCUGGGGUCCCUGCCUCUGGCCUCGUCCGUAACUGGCUCUCUGGCUCGGGUCCCCGCACCUUCAGCACGUGCUCCUUGUUGAUGCUGUCGUAGAACAUUUUGGCCGACUCCUUGAUGGGGAUGCCGCUCUCUCUCUUCCAGGAGAUGUUGGGUUUGGGGUUCCCCUGCACCCGGGCUCGGAACACAGCUUUAUCCCCUGCAGUGGGCACGGGACACAAGUUCACCUCUUAGCCUCCAGGUCGGACCUUCGGACCCUGCCUCCUCCCAGGGGUCUCAUGUCCACCCUGGCAGGGGAGCACCCCUGGGC